ACAGGUGCCACGACCAAAUCCAAAUCCCCCAAACCUAAAUCCUCUCACGCACUCCCUCCGCCGCCGCCCGCUAGCUAGCAGCCCGCACGCCGCUGACCACCCGCCGUCUCCAGCACGCCCUCACCUGUCUCCUUCAUCCUCCUGCACUCCCACUGCUUAGGCCCCGGACACUUCUAACCCUAGCUUGUGCGCUGGAGUUUGGGGAGAGGCCAAGGCGCGGUGGUGGACGCCGCCAUCCCUCUCAGAUCCGAGGCUGAGAGAGGGAGGGAGGGAGAGGUGGCUCACCUGCAAGAGAGAGCACUCACACCCUCGCUUGUCAGUCGUCACCCAGGGGCCGCCACCACCGCUGCCACGCCAUGGGCUUCCUCCAAUCUGCGCUCGCCGGUUCAUUUGAAGAAGGAUCUGGCCGUUGACUACUGGUGCUUCCCCUCCCCGGGCGAUCAGCCAUGACUUGGGAUAGUACUUCUAUCCAGCAAGCGGCGUUUUGGAUGUGAGCUCCAGCUCAAGCAGAGCAUCAAAGACAGGGGCUCUAUCUGCUAAUGGGGUAGCCGGCAAUGCAGUCUAAGAGAUACAUCUCGUGUGAUUUCUGGAUAUGAGAACUUGAGAAGAACAAGCUUGAUGCUAUUAUUGAAAAAAAAAUCUAUGCUACAGGAUUCUUCUUUGCAUCUGUCGGAUGUGGGGUUCCGGCAAACACUUGAGGUGGUGACAGUCUGAUGCCUUCAGAAUUGGCUCUCGGAACUUUCAACCAAGAUUAGAGCUAGCAUACAGUUUGCAGUUUAUAGUCGUACCCAUACUCAAUGAGUCCCUACCUCGGCUUCUGGGCAAGAUAUUCUUUAAUUUUAGUUGAUUAGCAACCAGUAUUGUUCAGGAAUUUUGAGUGGCACACAUCCUGGUCUGGCGAGCCGAUGACCGGACAUCAUUUGUCAAGAAUGGAGAGCCAGAGGAGUUCCCAGUUUGAUGUUAAGUACUAUGAAAGCAAGAUGACCCAGUUGUUGUGAGUCACUUCUCUACCAAUUUUGUUAUAUAAGGUUAUUCUUUCUUAUUCUAUGAUACCAUCUUUUGUAUAUUGAUUGCAAUAUGUAGGACCAAACUGAUACUGAGGAGUUUGUCACUUCAUAUGCUUGAAAUGCAUGAGUAUUGCUGACAUGAAAUUCCAAGAGAACCUUGAAAUGCAUGAGUACAUUAUUUCAAAAUUGUAUCCAUAUGGUCAUCAAUAACAGUUUUGCCAGUUUGCAUUGUUUGAUACAUAAGAAAUUCAAAGUCGAACCCAAUGAAAUAUUGCUAACUUUCAGUCAAAUCUAUGAAUGUUGAUAAGCUAUGUGAUUUAUUUAUGCUUGGUGACUCAUAGUGAGAUAUACUUCUUCUGACUUUUGAGUUUACCUUCACAUUUAUCAUGCUAAUAGGAAAAUGCUACUGAAAGUGGAAUAAGGCACUCACGUUAAUAUCUUUGUUUCCCCAUUUCCUUGAAUUACUAAGUUUCUCCAAUAUCAUCUUUAGACAACCAUUUCCUUGAUCAUACAUUAUUAAGAGUCCCCAAGUUGCUAUUUCAAAUAUUGUUUCUAUUUUUGGAGCAUUUGAUUCAAGAGUAUUGCUCGCUUGGACAUCGACAAGAGAUUUAGUACAGAUACAACAUGAUGACACUGAGAAUGCCAUCAGGGCAUACCAUUUUAUAACCAAAGAUAUGCUUACUCAUGUUUCACCAAUUCAUUUAAAUGUUGGACAUUUUUUCUUAUUGUUGUUUCAUUCUUCAUGACGCAGUUAAACAAUUGUUCCCUUAUCUGCAUGAACGAUGCUAACAUUCAGGAAAUAUAUGAUACUAAGAAAUGCGAUGUCAUGAUCAACUAUGUAUAAAUUUCUGUUAACAACAUUCAUGAUGGUUGGAGCUAUAUUUUGAGGAAUACACAGCUAAUCUAAUGGGAUUAAUCUUAUGUAACGUGUUUUCAAUUGUGAGAUUGUGCAUUGUA